CGUGUGUGGAACUCGUCAGCGUUUCGUCACAAACAGGUGAGCCUUAGAUCGAUGGACUUGGAGCUGGGCGGGAUUCAGAGUGGCCACGAAGAUUAAGUUUUGUUUUCUUUAAAAUAAGUUUUGCAUUUAUUAUUUUGAUUAUUUUUAUUCUGGUUAAAGUUGUAAUAAGGCCGCUCUUUUUAUUAUUUUUAAUAUUUUGGGUUAUCAAA